ACCUACUGCUGCCAACCUAUCUAUCACUGCUAAUCUAUCGCUGCUAAUCUAUUGCUGCUAAUCUAUCACUGCCAAUCUACCUACCACUGCCAACCUAUCUACCACUGCCAAUCUAUCUAUCGCUGCCAAUCUAUAUAGGGUAAAUCAUGGUCCCAUUUGGUCCCAUUUUGUAAAAUGGGAUCAAAUGGGACCAGAAUCACUAAUUUAUUAGUAAAACAUGAUCUGGGACUAGAUUUAUAAUAUAAACAGUGUAAAGUGACUAAUUUGCUAAACACUAUAUGGGACCAGGACUAAGAUAUCUAAUAAUGGGACUGAGGAAAAAUUUGGUCCCAGUUCCAUGCAUGGUCACACGGCCAGUCUAGAAAUGAAUGAUGAAUAUCUAUUUGAGAUUCUCAUUCUAUUAUCUUAUAGAUCAAUUCUUUAAAUAUAUAAAUGAC
rnacentral:sRNA from 2 species